UAAUUUCCCUCCCUGCAGGGGAGGCUUGUGAGCCUGCGAGCCGGAGGGAGGCCCCACUGAUUCAGCGCUGCCACCGCGACUGGCGAGUUUUCCUCUAGUCUCGCGACUGGACACUGGUCAGUAGAACCUGGACCUGCUGUAAGGCUGAAGAAGAAAAAGAAACCAUCCAAGCUGGCACUCGGUUUUGGGGAGUUCUCUUCACUGCUCACGCCGGCCCUCUUGUGUGACCUGUACUGUUGUGCUGUGUGGGGCUGGGAGCCAACUCUCUUUUCGUCGCCUGACACCUGUGCUUGCACCCUGCCCCUGGUCCUUUAAUAAGACAAGCAGACACAGGGGCUACAGUCAUGGGCAAUGCCCCAGGCAUCUUCCAAGACUCACACCUGGGAUGUAUCAUUUCUAAAUGGAAGGAAUCCAAAUCAGAUGGUUUAAAGAAAAAGAAACUCCAGCCUGGGAAACAUAGGAAGACUCCACCUCUACAAAAAACAGGAAAAAUGAGCCGGGUGUGGGGGUGCCUUCCUGGGGUCUCAGCUACUCAGAAGGCUAAAGUGAGGAUCGCUUAAGUCCAGGAGGUUGAGGCUGCAGUGAGUUGUGGUAAUACCAUAGCACUCCAACCUGGGCAAUGGAGUGAGACCCUGCCUCAAAAUCAAAUUUUUUUUUUAAUUAAAAAAAAAGAAACUGAUUUUCCUCUGUAAUACAACCUGCCCUAGUACACAUUAGAUCAAGAAAAAUGGCCAUGGGCAGAAGUGGAUCUCCUAGUUUUAACACUAUCUUACCGCCCGACCUAUUCUGUGAAUGGACAGAGAAAUGGGGAGAGAUACCUAGCUACAAGCUUUUAUGAAGUUAUGCUAGGACCCAGAGCUACUGGAUUCUUGUCAGGUGUGUGUGGCCCCUAUUUCCAGGUUCCUCCUGAAGGAACCUGAAGAA
rnacentral:lncRNA from 10 species